rnacentral:snoRNA from 1 species
UAGAGAAGUCAAUGAUGGUUAUACCCAUGAUGUCUGAACCUGUCUGAAGCAUCUCACUGAUGAAAUCUGUGUGGUUCUGAGACUUCUCUAUGA